AGUCGAGGGGCAGCACAGGUAGCAAUACCGGGUGGCGACCGGCGCACGGGUGAGUAACGCGUAUGCAACUUGCCUAUCAGAGGGGGAUAACCCGGCGAAAGUCGGACUAAUACCGCAUGAAGCAGGGGCCCCGCAUGGGGAUAUUUGCUAAAGAUUCAUCGCUGAUAGAUAGGCAUGCGUUCCAUUAGGCAGUUGGCGGGGUAACGGCCCACCAAACCGACGAUGGAUAGGGGUUCUGAGAGGAAGGUCCCCCACAUUGGUACUGAGACACGGACCAAACUCCUACGGGAGGCAGCAGUGAGGAAUAUUGGUCAAUGGCCGAGAGGCUGAACCAGCCAAGUCGCGUGAGGGAUGAAGGUUCUAUGGAUCGUAAACCUCUUUUAUAAGGGAAUAAAGUGCGGGACGUGUCCCGUUUUGUAUGUACCUUAUGAAUAAGGAUCGGCUAACUCCGUGCCAGCAGCCGCGGUAAUACGGAGGAUCCGAGCGUUAUCCGGAUUUAUUGGGUUUAAAGGGUGCGUAGGCGGCCUUUUAAGUCAGCGGUGAAAGUCUGUGGCUCAACCAUAGAAUUGCCGUUGAAACUGGGGGGCUUGAG
rnacentral:rRNA from 1 species